rnacentral:snoRNA from 1 species
AGUCACUGAUGAUUUUUGAUUAUAAGAGUAGUGGACAGAAGCGAUUUCUGAGUAAUCAUAUACUGAGACU